GAUGAACGCCGGCGGUGUGCCUAAUACAUGCAAGUCGUACGCACUGGCCCAACUGAUUGAUGGUGCUUGCACCUGAUUGACGAUGGAUCACCAGUGAGUGGCGGACGGGUGAGUAACACGUAGGCAACCUGCCCCGGAGCGGGGGAUAACAUUUGGAAACAGAUGCUAAUACCGCAUAACAACAAAAGCCACAUGGCUUUUGUUUGAAAGAUGGCUUUGGCUAUCACUCUGGGAUGGACCUGCGGUGCAUUAGCUAGUUGGUGGGAUAACGGCCUACCAAGGCGACGAUGCAUAGCCGACCUGAGAGGGCGAACGGCCACAUUGGGACUGAGACACGGCCCAA
rnacentral:rRNA from 1 species